CAGCCGCCGCGGUAAUACGUAGGGUGCGAGCGUUAAUCGGAAUUACUGGGCGUAAAGCGUGCGCAGGCGGUUCGUUAAGACAGAUGUGAAAUCCCCGGGCUUAACCUGGGAACUGCAUUUGUGACUGGCGAGCUAGAGUAUGGCAGAGGGGGGUAGAAUUCCACGUGUAGCAGUGAAAUGCGUAGAGAUGUGGAGGAAUACCGAUGGCGAAGGCAGCCCCCUGGGCCAAUACUGACGCUCAUGCACGAAAGCGUGGGGAGCAAACAGGAUUAGAUACCCCGGUAGUCCCUGUCUCUUAUAC
rnacentral:rRNA from 1 species